rnacentral:rRNA from 1 species
AAGCUCGUAGUUGAAUUUCGGGAUUAAUUUAUUGGUCGUGCAAUAGUACGUACUGGUAUUAUUGAUUCCUACCUUCUGACGAACCAUGAUGUCAUCAAUUUGGUGUUGCAGGAAAUCAGGACUGUUACUUUGAAAAAAUUAGAGUGUUUAAAGCAGGCUCACGCUUGAAUACAUUAGCAUGGAAUAACGAAAUAGGACGUUUGAUUCUAUUUUGUUGGUUUCUAGGAUCGACGUAAUGAUUAAUAGGGAUAGUUGG